UACGAAGGGGGCUAGCGUUGCUCGGAAUUACUGGGCGUAAAGCGCACGUAGGCGGUUUCUUAAGUCGGGGGUGAAAUCCUGGAGCUCAACUCCAGAACCGCCUUCGAUACUGGGAAACUUGAGUCCGGGAGAGGUGAGUGGAACUGCGAGUGUAGAGGUGAAAUUCGUAGAUAUUCGCAAGAACACCAGUGGCGAAGGCGGCUCACUGGCCCGGUACUGACGCUGAGGUGCGAAAGCGUGGGGAGCAAACAGG
rnacentral:rRNA from 1 species